rnacentral:rRNA from 1 species
AUGAACGCUAGCUACAGGCUUAACCCAUGCAAGUCGAGGGGAAACGGCAUCGAAAGCUUGCUUUUGAUGGGCGUCGACCGGCGCACGGGUGAGUAACGCGUAUCCAACCUGCCCAUCACUUGGGAAUAACCUUGCGAAAGUAAGACUAAUGCCCAAUGACAUCCCACGAAGGCAUCCGAAUGGGAUUAAAGAUUUAUCGGUGAUGGAUGGGGAUGCGUCUGAUUAGCUUGUUGGCGGGGUGACGGCCCACCAAGGCAACGAUCAGUAGGGGUUCUGAGAGGAAGGUCCCCCACAUUGGAACUGAGACACGGUCCAAACUCCUACGGGAGGCAGCAGUGAGGAAUAUUGAUCAAUGGGCGAGAGCCUGAACCAGCCAAGUAGCGUGCAGGAUGACGGCCCUAUGGGUUGUAAACUGCUUUUAUAAGGGAAUAAAGUGGGUCACGUGUGACUUUUUGCAUGUACCUUAUGAAUAAGGACCGGCUAAUUCCGUG